AUACGUAGGUGGCAAGCGUUGUCCGGAAUUAUUGGGCGUAAAGCGCAUGUAGGCGGUAAUUUAAGUCUGUCGUGAAACUGCGGGGCUCAGCCCCGUAUGGCGAUGGAAACUGGGUUACUUGAGUGCAGGAGAGGAAAGGGGAACUCCCAGUGUAGCGGUGAAAUGCGUAGAUAUUGGGAAGAACACCGGUGGCGAAGGCGCCUUUCUGGACUGUGUCUGACGCUGAGAUGCGAAAGCCAGGGUAGCGAACGGGAUUAGAUACCCCGGUAGUCCUGGCCGUAAACGAUGGGUACUAGGUGUGGGAGGUAUCGACCCCUUCCGUGCCGGAGUUAACGCAAUAAGUACCCCGCCUGGGGAGUACGGCCGCAAGGCUUAAACUCAAAGGAAUUGACGGGG
rnacentral:rRNA from 1 species